GCAAAACAUUACUUAAUAAUCAAAAUACAUAAUUAAGUUAAAAAGAGACCCUUUAACCAUUACAACCAUUAUUAAUAAACAACAUUAGUUUUUGUCUUUCGAAAUGAAGAAAACACAAAUUCAAACAACUGAACACUUAGACUAGAAAAUCUCCGUCUUUUGUGAUUAGAGAUUGUUGUUGAUGUAAGGAUCAUAAACAUCGGUGGUUGAAGGCAUGUAACUGGUGGAAGCAAGAUCAACGGCUGGUAGUUGAUUGUAGUUGUAGUAGUUUCUGUCCACGAAAGGAAUGCUUUCACGCCCUCCAACAUGAUUCAUAUGUUGUUCCACCAUCGGAUUCAUGAAUGAUUGUUGUUGAUUCAGAUACUGAUUUGAAUUCAGAUUCAAAUUCAGAUUCAAAUUUAUGUUGUAGAAUUCUCGUUGAAUCUGAUUAAACAGAUUAUUAGGAGCCUGGUAUUGAACCUGAUUCAUAUUCUGAUUUUGAUAAAAAUCACAAACGUUAGUAGGAACAAGGUGUUGAAACGGUUCAUGCAGAUUUUGACUCAUAUUCAUAUUUUCAUAUUGAAUAUGAUCAGAAAAUCGACUGGGAGCAGUUACCGCAUUUGCGUCCGCAUCAAGAAAAGGAGUCAUAUCGCCCGCAAGAACAUGAGGAUUGGUAGCAUUAGGAGUAUCUACAACCCUAGUUGUAGAAUGAAUAGGAGAGUCGGAAAACGACUCAUCACCAAUUUCGUCAACACCAAUUCUAGUAGGAAAAGGAGAGACGGAAGACAACAACGACUCACCGUUUUCUUUAAUGGACUCGAUCCUUCCGUUAAGCUGAUCGAGAUAUAGAUUCAUACAAGAUAGCAAAUCUUGAAGGUCUUUUGCAUCAUAACGAUACUGGGACAUUUUGCCUUCAACACAAUCAAACAUAAAUCGUCUAACCUGUAAUUCUCGGUUCUCAGCAGCCAAAUUCUUUAGUUGCUCUUUUGCUUUGGUAAUCCUCUCCAUAAGAUGGGUUUCUUGAUCCAUCAUCUUCCUGGUUCGGGCUGUCCGCGGCAUCUCCAGAAACUUUGAAGCUACCUUUUUAGCACCUUCCCUUGACGGCCAUGACUCUGGAACCGGUAUGAAUGGACUAUAGAUGAGAGCACAAGCUUGGACACCACAUAGAGUUGACAACUCGUGGAGUUUCUUGAAUAUCCCGUUUUUCCUCUUCAUGAAGGAUGUUUUCCUUGAUCUUUCAUUAGCUAUCAAAGAUAGCUUUACCUUCUUCAUCCCCAUCAAUAUGUUUUUUUGUUUUGUUUUGUGUGGUUUGUUUAAUUUGUUUACUCAAAGAAUGUUUAUAUAGCAAAGAAAGAUGAUUUUAUAGUCACUAGGAUUCUUAUCACUUUGGUGGACUCAUUAAUUCUAAAUAACAUCCAGGAAAUCUCUUAUCAAUUAAUUGACCAGGUAAUUCAUUAUUAUCUAUAUAAAAAUA
rnacentral:sRNA from 1 species